AGCAGGAAUCUGAUGCUAAUAUGAAAGAAAACUUUGUGGGAAGGCAACCCUGAUUAAUAAUGAAGGUGGAAAGCUAGGUUGAAACUAACAUUAUGUUGCUUUCUAUAUUAAUAUCUGUUUGAUUUUGUUUGUGUUGGUAAUCUUCUCAUAAUCAUCAUACUAUAUAAGUCACAGGAAAUUUUGUGAUGUAAAGCAUGCACAAAUUUGUGAGUUCUUUUCCUUCCAAC
rnacentral:lncRNA from 1 species